GGGGAUUUAGCUCAAUGGUAGAGCACUUGCCUAGGAAGCGCAAGGCCCUGGGUUCGGUCCCCAGCUCCG
rfam:Rattus norvegicus chromosome 9, whole genome shotgun sequence.